AAGAAGGGUCAAACUACCUCCAGGGUCAUAAAACUACCCCUGGAAAUGCCCACAACUCCUACGAAAGCCUUGUCAAAUAGGUGUUUCUAGGUUCACGGUACAGAAGAAGACUCACACUACCACCAGGGUCAUAAAACUACCCCUGGAAAUGCCCACAACUCCUACGAAAGCCUUGUCAAAUAUGUGUUUCUAGGUUCACGGUACAGAAGAAGGGUCAAACUACCACCAGGGUCAUAAAACUACCCCUGGAAAUGCCCACAACUCCUACGAAAGCCUUGUCAAAUAUGUGUUUCUAGGUUCACGGUACAGAAGAAGGGUCACACUACCACCAGGGUCAUAAAACUACCCUUGGAAAUGCCCACAACUCCUACGAAAGCCUUGUCAAAUAUGUGUUUCUAGGUUCACGGUACAGAAGAAGGGUCAAACUACCACCAGGGUCAUAAAACUACCCC